GACCGUGUAGCUCAGUUGGUAGAGCACUACGUUGACAUCGUAGUUGUCGUUGGUUCAAGUCCAAUCAUGGUCACCA
rnacentral:tRNA from 5 species